rnacentral:lncRNA from 1 species
GUCACUCGGUGUUCUCACCGAAAGCACGUAAUCGGCGGCGUAACUCAUGUUGGCUGGGGGGCCUCCCGGGCGCGCUGCGAGGCCGGGGUGCGCCCCC